ensembl:lncRNA
CAGGGAAGGGAUUAGGGAACUAGGGAUAUUUUGAGACCCAAAGAAAAUUUACCCCCUACGAAAGAGCCCAAAGUUUUCCCACCAUUCUGCAAAUCAGCACCUGGACUGCGAGGCCACGAGGGCUGCAUUGAGUCGGGGGAGAAGGAAGGCUGGCCAGUUAGGAAUGACGUCAUGUGGCUACAGUUAAAAAAAAAAAUGCACACUGCUGCUGAGAGCUGGGGUAUAAAUGCCACGGCAGUUGCUGGGCAUUUCUGCCCCGGCUCUUAACAGCGGAGUGUGAGCGGAUCUCUCCAGGUUGGAUCGAGUGGCUGCUUUCCUGGUUGCUAGGGCCGAUAAGACAGGGAAAAUGCUACACUCGGUGUUCAUGGGAAAACAUGUUGAUAUCGAAGAAGAGCUGAGACGUGUUAACAGUCUCUGCGAGCUCUCAGGAAGAUGGUGAGAGGGCUGAGCUCAGGAUGGCUGGACGCAGCAGGGCCUGAGGGUAGGGCUUAGGGCCACAGUGCUGCCCUUGACCAGUGAUGCUGGGAGCCAGGAGACCCAGUUCUGUUUUAUGCGCGGGGCUGGGCAUCACUGCCCUAACCAGGAAAGCAGAAAUCAGAAUGAAUUCAAUCCUAGAGUCUCAUGAGAAGAGAUCACUCAGCCUGCUAGAAGGACCAUCCUGUCUGGAAUCACAGGAAUUAAGAGAAACCACAACUUUGCUCAACUCUCAGUGCAACAUAAAACAUGUUAGCACUUGGGAAAAGGCAGAAUUUGAAGAAGGCAAAAGGAGUUUACUUUGGCAGAAGUUUCCAUAUGACCUUGGUCCUGUGGGAUCUCACUGAAAACUAAUGCUGCAAACUUGUCACACUUUGACUUCAAAAAGUCAAUGUCAGACUGGGCUCGGUGCCUCAUGCGUGUAGUCCCAGCACUUUGGGAAGCCGAGAUGGGUGGAUCGUGUGAGGUCAGGAGUUCAAGAUCAGCCUGGAAGACGUGGUGAAACCCCGUCCCUACUAGAAAUAUAAAAAUUAGCGAGGCAUGGUGAUGGGUGCCUGUAAUCCCAGCUACUCGGGAGGCUAAGGUAGGAGGAUCGUUUGAAUCCGGGUGGUAGAGGUUGCAGUGAGCCGAGAUUGUAUCACUGCACUCCAGCCUGGGCAACAAAGUGAGACUUCAUCUCAAAAAGACAAAAAAACAAAAAGUAAAUGUCACCAAGCACCGACAUGCAGCUGAGGCUAAGUUGGUUGUUCAGUAAUAUGUGAGACAGAGGCCUAAAUUUCACAAACUCCACAAGGCGCUGACCCAGCCACUUGCCUCUGAGCAAGAGCAGGCACAGGAAGAGAUUCCGCUGCAGACACAGUCCUGGGGCUACCACUCUCACAUGCAGCACUGGGCCACUUUGUCUCCUUCAUCGCCCCAGCCUCUGAGGUGAGCAGGUGGGUCCAGCCCCCGCCCUGAGGCCACAAGUCUGAGCCCCUAUCUACUUUCUGGGGAUACUCUCCCCUCCCUCCUUCCCAGCCUUGCCUCAACUGCAGCUCCCACCUCCAGGACUGUUUCCCCAGCACAAGAGCCCUGCUGUUUAAAUCAUCAACUGAAGCCUCGUGCACUGCUUCUCUGAGUGGUGUGUGCUAGCGAGGCCUUCCAGGAUUUUUCUUUUUUUUUUUUUUCUUUUUUUUAAUAUAAUGAUGUCCUGAUCCCAUCCUAAAGUCUGAGCUGGACGAUUGCUCCAUUGAACACAUGGUUGUUACCUAGGUUCUGACUCACCUUCAUUUGCAUGGGACUUUGAGUUCAGCCUGGAUAAUCUGCUGCCUCCAUCACUGAAAUCAUCCGGAUCCCUUUCAGUCUGGAGAGCUGCUACCACCUCUCUACAAUUAGCAAUAGGAGCAGAAUGAGGAGGGCAAGGCUCACACAGUCCCACCCAAACCAUCCAGACACAACCCAGGGGGAGUCCAGGUCACUCAUUCAUUCAUUCAUUGAUUCAUUCAUUCUAAUCUGCUCUCACGGAGCUUCCAAUGUAGAAGUGCUCACAGAGAAGUGAACAAGCACUUAAAAAUGAGGCAACAUAAAUGCCAAGUUGGGGGAAAUUUUCACUGACCUUUGCUCUCUGACUUUGUGAGCAGUGAGGAUGGUACAGUUUGAGACAAUUCACUCAUUCCCUCAGUAGUAAUGUGUCAGACAGUAAAGAUAAACAAGUAAAACAUUAUAGAAUGUUAGAAAUAAGGACCAAGGGGUGAGUGAAUUGGAGAAGGGGUAUAGGAAUUUGCUAUCUAAAGGUAAAUUCUCAAAGACACUCUUUUUUCAUAGUAAUAAUUGUAAAAUACAGUUUGACCAAACAGAGCCCACCUGUAAAAGUGCUUCCUAUCUUGAUGGGUGUGUACAGGCAGAGAGAGGUGGCUCCGAUAGAAUUCUUUUUUUUUUUUUUUUUUUUUGAGACGGAGUCUUGCUCUGUCGCCCAGGCUGGAGUGCAGUGGCUGGAUCUCGGCUCACUGCAAGCUCCGCCUCCCGGGUUCACGCCAUUCUCCUGCCUCAGCCUCCUGAGUAGCUGGGACUACAGGCGCCCGCCACCUCGCCCGGCUAGUUUUUUGUACUUUUUAGUAGAGACGGGGUUUCACCGUGUUAGCCAGGAUGGUCUCAAUCUCCUGACCUCGUGAUCCGCCCGUCUCGGCCUCCCAAAGUGCUGGGAUUACAGGCUUGAGCCACCACGCCCGGCCUGCUCCGAUAGAAUUCUAUAAAGUGGGUCUCAUCUUCCUCAUCUGUGAAAUGGGUGCAAGUAGGGAGGACAAACUUACUGAGCGCAUUAGCCCAGGUCUUCUAAGAAGUAGACUCAGAGGGCAGAUUGACCCUGCAAGAGAUGUCUUUAGGAAAAACAUUGUGAGAGAAAGUGAAGAGGGAACUAGAGGAGGUUGGGAGAGCCAGGAGACCAGGCAGCAGCCCGGGGACCUUGUGCAGGAGAGGGAAGAGAGGAAGGUUUGGUAGGAAGAGUCUGACACUGCAGUACAGUUUCAGCCAAGCUGAUGUUGAGCCAAGGAUGUAGAGCUCUAGGGAACAGGCCUGCCUCAGUAUCCCUGCUGUACUCUUCCCUGGCUGGGAGCAGCCUGUGGGAAGCGUGGCCUCACCCACCCAGAGUUCCAGGGUAGAUUUCAGAGCAUGGGAGCCAGGGCAGGUCAGCUGGAGAAGUGACAGGCACAUUUUUCUGGGCACGAAGGUCCACUCCUUGUGCCCUUGUGUAUUAGUCUGCUAGGGCUGCCGUGACAAAGUUCCAUAACUUGGGUGCCUUCAACACCAGAAGUUCGUUUUCUCACAGUUCCAGGGGCUGGAAGUCCAAGAUCCAGGUGUCACAGGGUUGGUUUCCUCUGAGGCCUCUGUCCCAGGCGUACAGAUGCCACCUUCUCCCUGCGUCUUCACGUGGCCUUCUUUCUGUGUGCGUCUGUGUCCUCACCUCCUCUUCCUAUAAGGACACCAGUCCUAUAGGACUAGGGCCCACCCUAAUGACAUCUUUUCACCUUAGUCCCCUCUUUACAGGCCCUGCCUCCAAAUACAGUCACAUUCUGAGGUGCUUGGGUUAGGACGUCAACAUGGGAAUUUUGGGGGACACAGUUCAAUCCAUAACAUGCCACGUAACUGCUUCCCCCCCAGGUUCAAGUUGCAGCCCCUGUGGUCCCACGUAUCCCUCUUCCCUAAAGAAAACCCAGAAGAACAAAGUUAGUAAGACAAGUUACAGCCUCAACGCUGUGGCUGACCUUGGGGCCAAACCCGUGUCUGUCGUCUCCCUCCUCCACUCUCCGGUUUGAGUUCCCUUCCCCCUCAGCUCUCACCCUGGCAGGUCCUGGUUGUUUACCUGGUAGUGUGACCUUAUCCUCAUUCAUGAAGGGUCCUGAUACGCUUCCUAUUCUGGGGUUGCAAGGAGUGUCUAGUCAUAGUUGCUAUGAGGCAGAAGGUCCCAAGAAGCACCCAAGUGGAUCCCUGGGUCCCACAUGAAUCUCUCCUUCCCAUUGUUUAAAAGGAGCCCUUCUCCUCCUUCCAAUCAGGGUGGCUAACACUUGCCCGGAUGAUGACUCUUCUCACUCACUGAUCCCUGGACACAAAUCCAAGGUGUCCUAGUGGCAGCCAUAACUUACAGUUCCUCGCUAUCACCAGGACUUCUAAGCCUGUAGAAAGCUCAUAGUUGUGAGAACCAGGAACACAAAAUCGCCCAGUGAGUCACCAGGAGAGAUGAUGAGGCAUUCCUGUUUCUACUCCUUCAUCCCUGGAUCUGUGUUUCCGGGUCCCAAGUUUUGCCCAUCAGAGCUCGUAAGUUCCCAGGACCUGAGCUUUCCAAUGACUCUGGAGCUCAGUGACUCUGACAAUCAGAUUGUCAGUCUGCCCCUCAGCUGUGUCUGCUGUUCCACUGCAGGAGAUCUUUGACCGGGAGCAGCCUGUGAGAAACAUGACCUCCGCACAGUCACGGUGACAGAUUCCACCGUGCGGUGGCGAGGACUGUCCCAUCAGCCACACUCCUUCCUGGUUGAAGAUCUGAAAUCAUGGUUGCCAUGCACAGAGUCUGUGAUUGCUCACUCAUUAUUGUUUCCACAGCAUUUAAGUGUGUCUGGGAACAUGUUUUGGAGUCUUUUAACUCCAUUGUUAACUCCAUAAAAUUGAUUACAUUUUAAGACUUACUGACUACAUUUUAUUCUUCUAUACGAUACUGAAAGCUACUGUAUUAGACAUUACUUUUCCGAGCUUCAGUUUCCUCAUCUACAGUGCUUACAUCAUCAGGUCAGUGUGAGCCUGAAGGAAAUGAUGCAUGACUUUUUGUUAUGGACUGAAUGUGUGUGUCUCCCCAAGAUUCUCACAAAUUGAAACCCUAACCCUCAGGAUGAUGGUAUUUGGAGGGGGGCCUUUGGGAGGUUAUUAGCUCAUGAGAGCAGAGCCUUCAUGAAUGGAAUUAGUGCCCUUAUGAAAAAGCAAUUCUAGAGCUUGCUCUUGACCUCUGCUCUUCUGGCCAUAUUAAGAUACAAUGAAGAUGGCUAUUUGCACACCAGGAAGUGGGCCCUCCCCAGACACCAGGUCUGCCAGCACUUUGAUCUUGGGCUUCCUAGCCUUCAGAAUGGUGAGAAAUAAAUGUUUGUUGCUUAAGUCACUCAGACUGUGCUAUUCUGUUACAGCAGCCUGAGCUAACACACUUUUUAAAAGUUAGUUUAAAAACUGGUGGAAUGGGUCAAAAUGAUUCUAAAAUUCAUACAAAAAAAUAAAUUUUCAACAAUUGCCCAGAAGUUUUAUAAAAAGGUAGUAUGCAGUAAGAUCUUGCCUUGUUGUAUAUUAAAAUGCACUACAAAGCUGUCAAAACCAAAACAAUAUGGUUCUUGCAUAGUAAAUAUAAAUGGAUUAAUGUAAUAAAAUAAAGAGCCCCCAAUAAGCUCAAGUAUAUAUAAGAAUUUAAUAUAGAAUAAGGUUCUAUUUUGGUUCAGUAGGGAAAGGAUAAACAAUUCAAUAAAUAGGAAUAACUUAGGGGAAGAUUAGAACCCUAGUUCUGUCCAUCUAUUUCUAAGCAAGCUUG